rnacentral:rRNA from 1 species
AGUCGUAACAAGGUUUCCGUAGGUGAACCUGCGGAAGGAUCAUUAGUGAACAUAGGACGUCCAACUUAACUUGGAGUCCGAACUCUCACUUUCUAACCCUGUGCACUUGUUUGGGAUAGUAGUCGACCUAGUCGACGAACUCCUAUUCACUUAUAAACACAAAGUCUAUGAAUGUAUUUAAUUUUAUAACAAAAUAAAACUUUCAACAACGGAUCUCUUGGCUCUCGCAUCGAUGAAGAACGCAGCGAAAUGCGAUAAGUAAUGCGAAUUGCAGAAUUCAGUGAAUCAUCGAAUCUUUGAACGCACCUUGCGCUCCAUGGUAUUCCGUGGAGCAUGCCUGUUUGAGUGUCAUGAAUACUUCAACCCUCCUCUUUCUUAAUGAUUGAAGAGGUGUUUGGAUUCUGAGCGCUGCUGGCCUUUAUUGGUCUUAGCUCGUUCGUAAUGCAUUAGCAUCCGCAAUCGAACUUUCGGAUUGACUUGGCGUAAUAGACUAUUCGCUGAGGAAUUCUAGUCUUCGGACUAGAGCCGGGUUGGAUUAAAGGAAGCUUCUAAUCAGAAUGUCUACAUUUUAAGAUUAGAUCUCAAAUCAGGUAGGACUACCCGCUGAACUUAAGCAUAUCAAUAAGUCG